rfam:Stegodyphus mimosarum contig105245, whole genome shotgun sequence.
GCCUUCGUGGUGUACUGCUCAACACGCUGGGCUCGUAUUCCAGAAGUCCGUGGUUCGAGUCCCGGCGAAGAGG